rnacentral:tRNA from 1 species
GAGGAUAUAGCUCAAGUGGCAGAGCACAUGCUUAGCAUGCACGAGGUCCUGAGUUUAAUCCCCAGUACCUCCU